GGUGGCUCAGUUGUAGAGUGCUUGUCUUGCAUGCAUGAGGCCCUGGGUUCGAUUCCAGAGCACCA
rnacentral:tRNA from 1 species